rnacentral:snoRNA from 1 species
GACCCAUAAUGUGGACAUCUUUGCAGUAGCUCUUUAAACCUUUCCCAAGCUUCAUACAAGGACCCGCCAUCAAAUUGUGUGAACAAGGUGAUAUCGUUCCUCAACUU